rnacentral:lncRNA from 1 species
CUAAUAUUGCUAGUGCAUAACAGGGAGGCCACUGAGGUCCUGGGGAGUUACUGCAAUGAAUGUUUCAUAGCAAAUGGAGCGUGUUGCCUUUUUCAUACAGAAACAUGUUACUUGCCUAUUUAAAAAAUUCAGUAAGUUUCUGUUGGUUUUUUCACAGUUAACCUCUAUUUUUGGCAAGCAAGACUGAUUUUAUAAUCCUCAUCAAGCAGUGAUUAUGUAAAAUUUCGCUUCCAAGUAAAUUUAAAUAAAAAAGAACAUAGAGUAUGUGAGAAAUAGUAAGACACCAGAAAGAUGUGGCCAAAAGCAUGAAGGAAGUAUAUGAAUGGCUGAGCUUUGGAGAUAAUUUGCUAAGGAAAAAAACUAGUGACUCGUUUAAAAUUUGUGAAAGCUUAAUAGGAAAAGAAUACUGAUGUAUUAUCCUUCAACUCUAGAGAAAGCAGAACUGGAGACUGUCCUGUCUUCUUUAGUUAAAAAGCUGCUUCAUUGAUGGAUGUGUUAACUUGACUAUGGUAAUCAUUUCACAAUGUAUAUUUAUAUCAAGUUAUGCAUUAUACACUUUAAAUAUAUACCUCAAAAAAUGAAAAAAGAAAAGAAAGCUGCCUCAGAUUUGUUAAGCCCUGGAACUGGCUUUUGGAUAGAGUAGAAAUAGUUCUGCUUCUUGAAGAAUUUAAAAAUUAACUGUGGCAAUGAGGUGUCAAAAAAAAAAAAAAGAAAGAAAGAAAAAGAAAAGAAAAGACAUAGUAAAGUAUUGGGGGAUAAUGGGACAUCACAUCAGCAAUUACUCUCAAAUGGUUUGGAAAAAAAGUUAUUUCUAUGAUACUCCCACAUGUUCUAUAUGUUUGCGACUAUUUCAAGAUAAAAAAAAUUUUUGUCUUUUUUUUUUUUUUUUUUUUUUUUUUUUUAAAGGGCCACAUCCGGGCAUGUGGAGGUUCCCAGGCUAGGGAUCAAAUUGGAGCUGCAGCGGCUGGCCUAUGCCGCAGCUUAUGGCAAUGCCAGAUCCUUAACCCCUUGAGCAAGGUCAGGGAUCAAACCCACAUUCUCAUGGACGCCAGUCCGGUUCUCUAACCACUGAGCCACAACGGGAACUCCAAAAAAUAUUUUUAAAAGCAUAAAUGUUAUCAGAAUGAUUGGUGUCUCAAAACCCUCAAGGCUUUUUUUUUUUCUAUAGAAGAAACCCUCAUCUCCUAUUGUCUUAAGAGCAGAUUUUAAAUAGUGACGUGAGUGGGUUUGACUUAAAACACUGAAUUAUCAGAAGACGCAAAGGCUUUAAAUUAGAUUCCAUUUAUAGAAAUGCAAAGAAAAUUACUGAACUUAGUAAUCUUGUACUCUAUGAAGUGAAUUCUCCAAAACUGGCUGAAAAUAAACCAUAGUCAAAUAAAAGGAGAAGCA